rnacentral:ncRNA from 2 species
AGAGUCUUUUACGAAGAAGGUUUAGCCAACUGCUUCGGCCCCUGCCGGAGGUGCGAUGAAGGUAACGACGUCGUGCUGAGCAUCCGAUCCGGGGGAAACGUAGGCCAGCUAUUGAGCUCCGGAAUCUUUAUGCUUCCGUGUGCCGACUUUGUCCUGACAAGGGGAAGGCAACAUCGGGUCGAUCGCUACUUGGGCGAGAUCGAUGCGAACACGGCGGAGUCUGUGAACC